CAGUAGCCGCGGUAAUACGUAGGGUGCGAGCGUUAAUCGGAAUUACUGGGCGUAAAGCGUGCGCAGGCGGUUUUGUAAGACAGGCGUGAAAUCCCCGGGCUCAACCUGGGAAUGGCGCUUGUGACUGCAAAGCUAGAGUGCGGCAGAGGGGGAUGGAAUUCCGCGUGUAGCAGUGAAAUGCGUAGAUAUGCGGAGGAACACCGAUGGCGAAGGCAAUCCCCUGGGCCUGCACUGACGCUCAUGCACGAAAGCGUGGGGAGCAAACAGGAUUAGAUACCCCUGUAGUCCCUGUCUCUUAUAA
rnacentral:rRNA from 1 species